GGUCCACCCGGGAUUUCGGUUUCCCAGCCCCUCGGAGUCGGUGAAGGUAGGCCUCUCCGUGGCCCCGCACCGUGAGUGGCGUGACACUGGCAUGGAGGCAAAAUAGGAUGGCUCUUCUAAUUCAGACCCGGGCGAGAGAAACCUUAAGAAUGGAGUCUAAACCUUCCAGGAUUCCAAGAAGAAUUUCUGUUCAACCCUCUGGCUCUUUAAGUGCUAGGAUGGUAUCUGGAAACCGAGGAACCAGUUUAAAUGAUUCCUAUCAUUCUAGAGACUCUUCCUUUAGACUGGAUUCUGAAUAUCAGUCUGCCUCAGCGUCAGCAUCUGCAUCACCAUAUCAGUCUACUUGGUACAGUGAGUCUGAGAUAACUCAGGGAGCACGGUCACGGUCACAAAACCAGCAAAGGGAUCAUGAUUCAAAAAGACCUAAACUUUCUUGUACAAACUGUACGUCUACCUCAGCUGGGAGAAAUAUUGGAAGUGGUUUAAAUACACUGUCAGAUUCUUCUUGGAGGCCUGGUCAAGUUCCGAGAUCUUCUUCAAUGGUCCUUGGUUCAUUUGGAACAGACUUGAUGAGAGAGAGGAGAGAUCUGGAGAGGAGAAGGGACUCCUCCAUUAGCAGUCUUAUGGACUAUAGUCACCGGAGUGGGGAUUUCACAGCUCCAGCAUAUGUUCAAGAAAGAGUUCCUUCUUCAUAUUCACAGGGAGCAAGACCAAAAGAGAAUGCCGCGAACACUUUACAGUUGAAUUCAUCCACCAAUCACCAACUGCCUUCUGAGCAUCAGACAGUACCAAGUUCUAGGGACUCUAGUAGAAGUUCUUUCAGAUCCCAUUUUUCUCCAAGACAAUCAGAAUCUUUUCGAAACAGUUCACAUCCUGCAUUUUCAUAUCUUUCAAGUAGAAAUGAAACUCCAACUAUAAGCAGUUCAGAAAGGGCUGGCUCGUCUCAGAGACCAUUUCAAGAAUCUUCUGACAAUGAAGGUAGGCGUACAACUAGGAGAUUGCUGUCACGGAUAGCUUCUAGCAUGUCAUCUACCUUCUUUUCACGAAGAUCUAGUCAAGAUUCCUUAAAUACAAGGUCACUGAGUUCCGAAAAUUAUAUUUCUCCAAGAACCCUGACUUCACAGUCUCGGAAUAAUGGAGCAUCAUCUUCUGAAGUUAAUGAUGGCAGGGCGUCUGAAGCGUCUCAGGGAUUUAGGUUUCUUAGGCGAAGAUGGGGUUUGUCGUCUCUUAGCCAGAAUCAUAGCUCUGAACCAGAUGCAGAAAACUUUAACCAAGAAUCAGAAGGUAGAAAUACAGGACCAUGGUUGUCUUCCUCACUUAGAAAUAGAUGCACACCUUUGUUCUCUAGAAGGAGGCGAGAGGGAAGAGAUGAGUCUUCAAGAAUAUCUCCAUCAGAUGUACCUCCUAGAUCUCAUCUUUUCAGAAGAGAAUCAAAUGAAGUAGUUCACCUUGAAGCACAGGGGGACUCCCUUGGGGCAGCUGCCAGCAGACCACAAGCAUCCGGAGCAUCAGGCAAUGCUUCUGCAAGUGGAUCCACACCAGAUUUGCCACAGGGUGGAAGAAAUACAGGAAUAGCAGGGAUCCUUCCUGGCUCCUUAUUCCGGUUUGCAGUUCCGCCAGCACUUGGCAGUAACCUGACUGACAAUGUCACGAUUACCGUAGAUAUUAUUCCUUCAGGUUGGAGUUCAGCUGAUGGGAAAAGUGAAAAAGCUAAAAGUGCACCUUCAAGAGACCCAGAAAAACUUCAGAAAAUCAAAGAAAGCCUCCUCUUAGAGGACUCUGAUGAAGAAGAAGAAGGGGACUUAUGUAGAAUUUGCCAGAUGGCAGCAGCGUCAUCAUCUAAUUUAUUGAUAGAGCCAUGCAAAUGCACUGGGAGUCUGCAGUAUGUCCAUCAAGAGUGUAUGAAGAAGUGGUUACAGGCCAAAAUUAAUUCUGGUUCUUCAUUAGAGGCUGUAACCACCUGUGAACUCUGUAAAGAGAAGUUGCAACUUAACCUGGAGGAUUUUGAUAUUCAUGAACUACAUAGAGCUCAUGCAAAUGAACAAGCUGAGUAUGAGUUUAUCAGCUCUGGUCUCUACCUAGUUGUCUUACUGCACUUGUGUGAACAAAGCUUUUCUGAUAUGAUGGGAAAUACAAUCGAACCAAGCACGCGCGUCCGAUUUAUUAACCUUGCAAGAACUCUUCAGGCACAUAUGGAAGAUCUCGAAAGUAGGUGGAAUUUUCCCUCCCCAGACUUGUUGAAUGUACAUUUGCAAAUUAAACCCACAGAACAAAAACCUUUAAGUACCAAAUUGAGCUUUGGCUUUGGGCAUAAUACUACUUAGGGUUGUUGAUUCAGAUGAUAAGGGUUGGACAAUAGACUUGAGGUUUUUAAAUGUUUUGGUUUUGUUUUUUUUUUUUUUAAUUAUUUUUAAGGUGUGGAAGGAGGUAAUCUUAACCACUAAUAUUUUAAAUAAACUACUGAUUUUUAUUACUUGUGAUUAAAAGGAAAACAAACUUAAUUACUAAAUUAUAUCUGUUAAGGGCUUUGUAUUUUAAAUAUAGGAAAAAAUUAUAGUUUUUAUUCAGUUUUAGAUCAUGAAAGAUUUUCUUUAGUCUUGCAUUUGGUACCAGGAAAAUAAGGAAGAGAGGCCGGAGACCCUAAGAAAGGGGUUUUGCUUGUUCUUCUUUGACUUAUAGAUAGUUCUUUGUGAACCUGUAACACAUGGGCAGCAAGAAAUCUAGGAGUACAUUGUCACAGGCAUUUCUGCACCCUGUUGUCUUAUAGUGUAUCUGUGUGCUUCAUACCAAGCAUGGACAAAAUUGGCUUUAGAGCAAUUUCUGGGCAAGAUUAAGCCCAUCUGGUCUGUACCUAUUUAUUCUUCACCAGAGCAACAAGUUUGCAUUCCAGUAUAGUCUUGAGUGUUUUAAAUGGGUAUUUUCAUGUGGAUUGUGCACUUAACCAUCUGCAGAAUAUGUUAUCCAGAAGAUGUGUAAGCUCAUUACCUUUAGAAGAAUCAGCCUGGCAUUCUUCGAAGAUAAUAUGAGAAGGGUCCAGUCCUCAUUAAAAUCCUCUACUUCCUUAGAUAUUUUAAGACAUGGCCUUUUAGAAAUAUUGUUACACCUUACUAAUUUUAGAUUUUAACAGGAUUUGAAAUAAAUUCAGACAGCACAUUUUCAAGUUUCUUUUUUAUUAUCAUAUGGCACAGUAAAGCCAGUUAGAAUUACUAUUCAGUUUUUCAUUUUUGCUUUUUUAACUUUAUAACCUUCAUAAAAAUACUUCAUAAGAGCUGGGCAUGGUUGCACACACCUUUAAUCCCAAAACUGGAGAGGCCAGGCCAGCCUGAUCUACAAAGUGAGUUCCAGGACAGCCAGGGCUAUACAGAAAAACUCUGACUAGAAAAACUAAAUCAAACAAACAAACCGAAAACACCACAUUGGCUAAUAAAAAAGUUUAAUUUUUGUAUCUGAAAGUUAUAAUUUGUUUUGGUAGAUGUGGUCAUUUGUUUCAUCAUAUAUUUCCUAAGAUCUCUCACUUAAAAAUAAUCCUCAUUUAAAAUGCAAGCUCCUAAAUAUAGCAUGGUCUUUUUCCAUAUGUGUGAGAGAAGAGAAAUACAGAGGUAAAAUUAUACAAUUCAGCUAACAAUGGACGGUAGCAGUGCCUCAAAUGAAUUUCAUAUUAUUAGAGUAUUGCUAUAUUCUGAAAACUAGCUGAAUUCUAUUCUGUGGAAUCACCUAAAAAUGGCAUUCGCUUCAAUAUGACCCUGUGAUGUAGAAUUUAGCAACAGGGUUUAUGUCAGUUAUAAUGUUAACAUUUUUUUCUGCUCUCUGAGUUGAUCCCGUAUCCUAGAGUAAAGAGACCAGUUGGAAUUACUGUCUAUCACCGUGUUUGCUGUUUUUGCUUUUCUUACUUUAUAACCUUUAUAAGGCUUACUUCAGCUUAUCUGCCCUUGAUAAUAGUGAAAAUAUUAGGUGUUUAUUUGAAAGAACUUAGAUUUUUCCCUAACAUAUAGAGCAGAUCAUAUAACGAAUAGCUUAUUUACCUUGGCUAUCCCAAGCAUUCCAGGAUGCAUUAUGUUAAAGCUUGUGUCACUAAUGGCCAUUGAAGAAAUUGAGGUCAGAAAUGUUAUGAAAAUGGUGUUUCUGAGAGUUGGAGACAUGGGGAUGGUCGCAGCAGCAGGAUUUUUGUCGUUGGUGGUUUCGUUUAGUUUUUUUCUUUCUGAAUCCGAUUAUUUUAAGCUAGGCUGUGUCUAUAUAAAGCUUUUCUUACUCAAUAGAGCUUUUCCAUGGCAUUGUAUAGACAUAGCUUUGAUGUCAAUUGCAAGAACAUCCGUAACCUCUUAUUCUAUGUACAUUUUUUUUCAUUCUCAUCGGAUGCAUCAAACAUGCAGCGGUAAUAAGCCAGAUUCUACUCAGCUUCAGAGGAUGAGUUCUGAAGAUGAUGGAGACCACAACAGAAGGCUUGAUAUUGCUUCACUUCAUUUAAGACAAAUGGAUUAUCUGUGAACAUGUUUGUUGAAACUGGCAAUUAAGUAUGAAUAAUUUCAUGGGGUAA